UCUUCCACCUUUUAGGUAGAYUGGAAAGCUGGGUCUUCAUUUGUAGCUGGUCAUGUUUUCAUAGGAGCUCCAUCAGGAAAUCUGAACACCUGGAGAAGGU